GACGAACGCUGGCGGCGUGCUUAACACAUGCAAGUCGAACGGAAAGGCCCGGCUUUUGUGGGGUGCUCGAGUGGCGAACGGGGGAGUAACACGUGAGUAACCUGCCCUUGACUUUGGGAUAACUUCAGGAAACUGGGGCUAAUACCGGAUAGGAGCUCCUGCUGCAUGGUGGGGGUUGGAAAGUUUCGGCGGUUGGGGAUGGACUCGCAGCUUAUCGGCUGGUUGGGGGGGUAGUUGUUUACCAAGGCUUUGACGGGUAGCCGGCCUGAGAGGGUGGACGGCCACAAUGGGACUGAGAGACGGCCCAGUAUCCUACGGGAGGCAGCAGUGGGGAAUAUUGCACAAUGGGCGGAAGCCUGUUGCAGCAACGCCGCGUGCGUGAUGCCGGCUUUCGGGUUGUAAACCGCUUUCGACUGUGACGAAGCGUGAGUGACGGUAAUGGGUAAAGAAGCACCGGCUAACUACGUG
rnacentral:rRNA from 1 species